rnacentral:tRNA from 4 species
GCCUCUGUGGUGGAAUUGGUAGACACGCUACGUUUAGGCCGUAGUCUUUAAUCGGGUGAGAGUUCGAGUCUCUCCGGAGGCA